rnacentral:miRNA from 1 species
AUCCGAUCUACGAUCCGAUUACAC